rnacentral:lncRNA from 1 species
AUUUGAUUUAGGAUUUAGAUUUUGAUUUAGGAUUUGAUUAGGAUUUGAUUUAACAUUUUUUUAGGAUUUGAUUUAGGAUUUAGGAUUUUAUUAGGAAUUGAUUUAGGAUUUAGAGUUUCGUUAGGGUUUCAUUUAGGAUUUAGGAUUUGAUUUAGGAUUUGAAUAGGAUUUGAUUUAGGAUUUGAUUAGGAUUUGAUUUAGGAUUUAGAGUUUGGUAAGGAUUUUAUUUAGGGUUUAAGGUUUGAUUUAGGGUUUGUUUAGGAUUUGGAUAGAGUUUAGUUUAGGAUUUAAUUAGGGUUUGGUUUAGGAUUUAGGAUUUGAUUUAGGAUUUAGUGUUUGAUUUAGAGUUUAAGAUUUUAUUAGGAUUUGGGUUUAGAGUUUAAGUUUUAAUUAAUUUUGGCCUAAAGUUGGAAUGAAGUCCAAUAAGAUUUUAACUAGGAUUAAAUUAAAAUUGAAUUGAAAUAUAUUUGAGAGAUAUUUGUAAUCAUUCUAAUAUUUCUUUAAGAUUUCUUAUUGUUUCUUUGAAAUUUCUUUGAGAUUUCUCUGAAUUUGAUUAAAGCUUGUUUAGCAUUGUUAGUAUUCUAUUA